rnacentral:rRNA from 1 species
GACGAACGCUGGCGGCGUGCCUAAUACAUGCAAGUAGAGCGCUGAAGGACGGUCUUUGUCUUAAGUGGAUGUGCAGCGAACGGGUGAGUAACGUGUGGGACAUCCCUGGUAGAGGGGGGGACAACUUGGGGAAACGAACUCUAACAGCGUAUAAGAACAUGAAACAUGAGAUUUACUUAAGAAAGACACAUUCGCCACACCCAAAUAGAAUUGCGCGUUGUAUGAGCUAGUUGGUGGGGUAAAGGCUCACCAAGGCGAAGAUACAUAGCCGACCUGAGAGGGUGAUCGGCCACACUGGGACUGAGACACGGCCCAGACUCCUACGGGAGGCAGCAGUAGGGAAUCUUCGGCAAUGGACGGAAGUCUGACCGAGCAACGCCGCGUGAGUGAAGAAGGUUUUCGGAUCGUAAAGCUCUGUUGGUAGAGAAGAACGAGUGUGAGAGUGGAAAGCUCACACUGUGACGGUAACUUACCAGAAAGGGACGGCUAACUACGUG